UCAUUGUUAGUAUAGUGGACAGUAUAUGCGGCUGUCACGCGGAAGGCCAGGGUUCAAUUCCCUGACAGGGAG